AUUGAACGCUGGCGGCAGGCUUAACACAUGCAAGUCGAGCGAGCGGCGGACGGGUGAGUAAUGUCUGGGAAACUGCCUGAUGGAGGGGGAUAACUACUGGAAACGGUAGCUAAUACCGCAUACCAUCGGAUGUGCCCAGAUGGGAUUAGCUAGUAGGUGGGGUAAAGGCGCACCUAGGCGACGAUCCCUAGCUGGUCUGAGAGGAUGACCAGCCACACUGGAACUGAGAAAAGGGACAGAACCCUAAGGGAGGCAGAAGUGGGGAAUAUUGCCCGAUGGGCGAAAGCCGGAUGCAGCCAUGACGCGUGUAUGAAGAAGGCCUGCGGGAUGUAAGCUACUGCCAGCGGUGAGGCUUUGCACGCAGAAGACGCACCGGCUAACCCCGCGCCAGCCGCCGCGGUAAUAC
rnacentral:rRNA from 1 species